UACGUAGGGUGCGAGCGUUGUCCGGAAUUAUUGGGCGUAAAGAGCUCGUAGGCGGUGUGUCGCGUCGGCCGUGAAAACUUGCAGCUUAACUGUGGGCGUGCGGUCGAUACGGGCAUCACUGGAGUUCGGCAGGGAGACUGGAAUUCCUGGUGUAGCGGUGAAAUGCGCAGAUAUCAGGAGGAACACCGGUGGCGAAGGCGAGUCUCUGGACGACUCCUGACAGCUGAGGACCACGAAAGCUAGGGGAGCAAACAGG
rnacentral:rRNA from 1 species